UAUCCUAGAAAUAUGAUUUUUACACCAUUGUGCUGCGUUUAAGGGACGCUAGUGCAGUGUGGCUUGGCAUUGUAAUUCUAGAAAAUGAUUUCUCCCAUUUUCAAGCACACAUGGACUUACCAAGUGGUUGGACGCCAUUUUAAUGUAGCCAACUGCGCAUGCUCAGCCUGCGCCUGCGGUAUUAUUUUAAUGGGAAAGAUUGGAAGCUCUUUCACAUCAAAGCCUUUUACAAUUACUGACUGAUCUGUGAUGAAAUUGAGAUGAUGUGCUUGCCUAAACACCUGGCUAUCUACUGAUGUGACACCAAUCACUUCCAUCAUCCACUGAGUUUUGUGUCUGAUAAUUCGUAUACUUCGGUUUAAUUCCAUCUCUUCAAGUAAGGCCACUCCAUGCAAUUAGAUUCAUACCGGCUGCUUUCCCAUUUUAUGCCGACAUGGUCCCCAUCACUAUUUUGAUUACCAUAAGUAAUAUUUACGGCUGCUAAUAUUCGCAAAAAUAAAAGUGUAAUUAAGUACCAUGGAAACCGAUAGAAUGUUGCUAUGAUAACAAGACCAUGAGCCUAAUUUUCUGUUCUUUAGCAGCUUUAGUGGAGCUAUUCACCAAUAGCGACUUGUUCUGUUUCUGUUAGCUUCUUGUAUGAACCUCUACCUCCAAACCCCUUGUGCUGCAAAUUGUUACUGGUCGGUAGCAAACCACACCCAAGCCAAUAAACAACACUAACUUAAAUGCGUAGAGAGUUCCAAGAUAUGGCAAGUAGGGUAGUUUUGAAAAGAACUGGUUAAAGCAGCUUGAAAAAGACCAAGGGCUAGCUAGUAACAGCAAGAAGAACAACUCAAGAACACUGCAUCAGGAUGCUUUGCUUUAAUAUCGUAUCACAUCUGGUAUCUACAUGCAUGAUAAUUGCCGGUCAUGGUAAAAAAAAUUGUGAAUAUUGGCAGCUACGAAUAUAUAAUUAUGCACAUAGCUUAUACAAGAGAUAAUGAAGAAAUUGAUAAUGGGAAUAACUAAACCUGCUUCCCACCACUGUAAUGGGAUACUAUGAUUGGAGUGACCUUAGCAAAGGAUUUUUAU